rnacentral:rRNA from 1 species
UACGAAGGGGGCUAGCGUUGUUCGGAAUUACUGGGCGUAAAGGGCGCGUAGGCGGCUUCGCUAGUCGGGCGUGAAAUGCCUGGGCUUAACCCGGGAAUUGCGUUCGAUACUUCGAGGCUAGAGUGUGGGAGAGGUUGGUGGAAUUCCCAGUGUAGAGGUGAAAUUCGUAGAUAUUGGGAAGAACACCGGUGGCGAAGGCGGCCAACUGGACCACACUGACGCUGAGGCGCGAAGCGUGGGGAGCAAACAGGAU